rnacentral:sRNA from 1 species
GAACUGGCUGCACUCUCGGCAGCGGGAAGCUGAGCAGCGGGCUGCCCUGGCACGGCUGGCAGGGCAGCUGGAGUCCAUGAACGAUGUGGAAGAAUUGACUGCACUGUUGCGAAGCGCUGGUGAGUAUGAGGAGCGCAAGCUGAUCCGAGCUGCCAUCCGCCGUGUACGGGCUCAGGAGAUUGAGGCUGCCACCUUGGCUGGGAGGUUGUGCGGCGGGCGUCCCAACAGUGGCUCAAGAGAGGACAGCAAGGGGCGAGCGGCACACAGGCUGGAACAGUGUGAGGUGCCAGAGCGAGAGGAACAGGAACAGCAGGUAGAGGUCUCAAAGCCAACCCCCACCCCUGAAGGCACCAGCCAGGAUGUGACCACAGUGACACUCCUGCUGCGAGCCCCACCUGGGAGCACAUCCAGCUCACCUGCCUCACCCAGCAGUUCACCCACCCCUGCCUCUCCUGAGCCUCCAUUGGAGACUGCCGAGGCCCAGUGCCUUACAGCUGAGGUUCCAGGCAGCGCAGAGCCACCCCCCAGCCCACCCAAGACCACCAGCCCUGAGCCUCAGGAGUCUCCAGCGCUCCCCAGCACUGAGGGCCAGGUGGUCAACAAGCUUCUGUCUGGCCCCAAAGAGACCCCGGCUGCCCAGAGCCCCACCAGAGGCCCCUCUGACACCAAGAGAGCAGACGUGGCUGGACCCCGACCCUGCCAACGCUCCCUGUCCGUGCUCAGCCCCCGCCAACCAGCCCAGAACCGAGAGUCCACCCCCCUUGCCAGCGGACCUUCCUCGUUCCAGCGGGCUGGCUCUGUGCGGGACCGUGUCCACAAGUUCACAUCUGAUUCUCCUAUGGCUGCUAGGCUCCAGGAUGGCAUGCCCCGGGCUGCCCUAAGUCCCCUGACCCCCGCAAGGCUCCUGGGCCCCUCCCUCACCAGCACCACCCCUGCCUCCUCCUCCAGCGGCUCCUCCUCUCGGGGCCCCAGUGAUACCUCCUCCCGGUUCAGCAAGGAGCAACGAGGAGGAGCCCAGCCCCUGGCCCAGCUUCGAAGCUGCCCCCAGGAGGAGGGCCCCAGGGGGCGGGGCUUGGCUGCUAGGCCCCUUGAAAACAGAGCAGGGGGGCCUGUGGCACGUUCAGAGGAGCCUGGUGCCCCGCUGCCCGUGGCCGUCGGCACUGCCGAGCCAGGGGGCGGUAUGAAGACCACAUUCACCAUCGAGAUCAAGGACGGCCGUGGCCAGGCCUCCACAGGCCGGGUGCUGCUGCCCACAGGCAACCAGAGGGCAGAACUGACACUGGGGCUGCGGGCGCCCCCGACCCUACUCAGCACCAGUAGUGGAGGCAAGAGCACCAUCACCCGUGUCAACAGCCCUGGGACCCUGGCUCGGCUGGGGAGUGUCACUCACGUCACCAGCUUCAGCCAUGCCCCCCCCAGUAGCCGAGGAGGCUGUAGCAUCAAGAUGGAACCAGAGCCAGCAGAGCCUCUCGCUGCAGCAGUGGAAGCGGCCAAUGGGGCUGAGCAGACCCGAGUGAACAAAGCACCAGAGGGGCGGAGCCCUCUGAGCGCUGAGGAGCUGAUGACUAUUGAGGAUGAAGGAGUCUUGGACAAGAUGGUAUGGCCAGAUCCAGUGGGCUGGGGGUUGGCAGAGGUCAGCAGGCACCAGGUAGGCAAUGACGGGCUCUAUAUGCAGCUGGAUCAGAGCACGGACUUUGAAGAGCGGAAGCUCAUCCGGGCCGCACUUCGUGAGCUCCGACAAAGGAAGAGAGGUAGAGAGCCAGUUGCCCUACCCUAGAUCUAGCUGCCCCAUUCCCCAGCUGCUCCCCUCAUACUCUGGGGUCCAUUUGUGGACACCCCAGCUUAAUAACUGCCCUACCCAGCUUCUCCUUCUCUAGACCCAGCAGUUCCCUUGGCUAUUCCCCGCUGGAUCCAGCUUCUCCUUCCCUAGCUCCUUCUCUCCCGCUGGUGACCCCAGUUAUUCUCCCCAACCAGCUUCUCUUCUCCUUCCUAGACCCAGAUACUCCCUCCCGCAGCUACUCUCUCCUUGGAUCCAGUUGCCUCUCAAAGCACUGUCAACGACUCCUUCCCUGAAUCCAGAUACUCCUUCUCCCUGCUGCUUCUCUCUCCCUGAAGUCCGUUGGUUGCCAUCUUAGCCUCUGCCCCAUCCAGCUUCCCUUUUCCUGGACACAGCUACUUCCUCCCCCAGAUAGUUCUUCCCUGGACACAUCUAUUCAUUCCCUUAGAUUCUGGGUUCAAUUGCUUCUCCUCUCAAACACUCUCAAUUACUCCUUCUCUGAAUCUAGCUGCUUCUGCCAGGGCCCACUGAUGGCCACCCCAGUCUCUAUCUCUACCCACCUACUUCUAUUUUAAGCCCAGUUUACCCCCUUCACUAGCUUCUCUCCCAGCUACUCUUCCCCUGGAUCAGAUUGCUUCUCAGAUCCCAUCAAUUGCUCCCUUCCUGGAUCUAAAUAUUCCUGCCUCCAGCUGCUCUUCUCCUCCAACCAAAGACCCGCUGAUGGCCCACCCAGCUACUUCCUCACUCAGCUUCUCCUUCCUUGGACUCAGCUACCCCCUCACUAGAUCUAGAUACCCCUCCUGACUUAGCUACUCAUUCCUAUAGAAACCCUUUUUGGAUCCAUACCCCUUUGAGUUCAGCUAUUCCAUAUUCUCUAGUUUCUGCCUGAGUCCAUCAACCCCUUUGCACACUCCAUUCCCUGUCAAGUUAUGGCUGUCCCCUCACCCCAGCUUCUCCUAGAGAGGCCCUUGUUACCUGUGUCAUUCAUGUUUCUAACAAGCCACCCUCCACCCCAUCUUGUGUGCCCCAUGCACCUGUGCAUCUGUGCUGUGUGGGUGUUGGUGGCCCUUUUGCGCAUGCAUGGGGCAUCCCCUGCCCAGACCAGCGGGACAAGGAGCGGGAACGGCGGCUGCAGGAGGCACGGGGCCGGCCAGGGGAGGGGCGAGGCAACACAGCCACUGAGACCACCACGAGGCACAGCCAGCGGGCAGCUGAUGGCUCUGCUGUCAGCACUGUUACCAAGACUGAGCGGCUCGUCCACUCCAAUGAUGGCACACGGACGGCCCGCACCACCACAGUGGAGUCGAGUUUCGUGAGGCGCUCGGAGAAUGGCAGUGGCAGCACCAUGAUGCAAACCAAGACCUUCUCCUCUUCCUCUUCAUCCAAGAAGAUGGGCAGCAUCUUUGACCGCGAGGACCAGGCCAGCCCACGGGCCGGCAGCCUGGCGGCGCUCGAGAAACGGCAGGCCGAGAAGAAGAAAGAGCUGAUGAAGGCGCAGAGUCUGCCCAAGACCUCAGCCUCCCAGGCGCGCAAGGCCAUGAUUGAGAAGCUGGAGAAGGAGAGCGCGGCCGGCAGCCCUGGCGGACCCCGCGCAGCCGUGCAGCGAUCCACCAGCUUCGGGGUCCCCAACGCCAACAGCAUCAAGCAGAUGCUGCUGGACUGGUGCCGAGCCAAGACUCGCGGCUACGAGGUGAGCCCCGGGAGGCCACGGGGCCUGGAGGCCUCCCCAGACCCCAGCUCAGCACCUCCCUCUUAGCAGAGCUCCUAUUCCCCAGUACACUUCCCGCCACUGUGUGGCCUCACAGGGAACAUGGAAAGGCUCUUGGGGUGAGGGAACUGAGACUCAAAGAGGACACAAGGCAAGCCCUAGAUUCCAGAAUCAGUGAUAAAGUAACAGGGCCUCUUGGGUGUUGCUCUGUAGGAGGCCCUGAGUCAAUUUCUCUAAAUGAGGGAAGGAGUGAUGAGGCAUGACCAUAGCCUUAGCUGGGAGGCGCUGGCCUCUCAGUAGCUCUGUCCCUCAAAAAUGCAAAUAUGGGAGUUGACAGGCUGACUUGGAGGAGGCUCAUGUUCCAACUGUUUACUCAUUGUGCAAGCUACAGGGCCUCUCUGUGCCCAGUGCCCUAGGUCUGGAAUACCAGAAUGCUGAGGGGUAGACAGCAGGGGGGAGUUGCCCCCAGGGUCCUGACCAGUCCUCCUACGGCUUAUAGCACGUCGACAUCCAGAACUUCUCCUCCAGCUGGAGUGAUGGGAUGGCCUUCUGUGCCCUGGUGCACAACUUCUUCCCUGAGGCCUUCGACUAUGGGCAGCUUAGCCCUCAGAACCGACGCCAGAACUUCGAGGUGGCCUUCUCAUCUGCGGAGACCCAUGCGGACUGCCCGCAGCUCCUGGAUACAGAGGACAUGGUGCGGCUUCGAGAGCCUGACUGGAAGUGCGUGUACACGUACAUCCAGGAGUUCUACCGCUGUCUGGUCCAGAAGGGGCUGGUAAAAACCAAAAAGUCCUAACCCCUGCUCGGGGCCCCACGGUGAGAAACGCCGCCUCUCCCACCUGCCCCGUUUCACCAGAAUCUGCUCAGCAAGGCCAGAGAGGGUCCAGGGAGGCGGGUGGGGGAAGUAAGGGGGGCAUUUAGUCAAGCCAGAGGAGCCAGACAUAGCCCUGUCUUCUGGCAGUUCAGGGCCCAGCAGGCAAGACCAUUCUAAAUGGGCAGUGAUGACCCAGGUGAGCAGCACUGUGAUGGGGGAAGCCCAGGGGAGGUGCCUGACCCAGGCUGCAGGUCUGGGCCCCCCAUCUGAAAAAAAGUGCAAACUAAGUUGGGAUCUGAACAAGUUCAGGCUAAAGGAGGGAGAGGGAGUUCCAGGCAGAGGGAUCAGCCUAGGCUUAGCAGGGCAAGAGAGCUGGAGAGCACAGCACAUCAGGAAGGGAAGAAACUUGAGUCUGGAUAUGAGGGAGGAGGGGGCCACAGUUAGAAGUUUGGCCUUCAGGCCAAGCACGGUGGCUCAUGCCUGUAAUCCCAGCACUCUGGGAGGCCGAGGUGGGCAGAUCACGAGGUCAGGAGUUCGAGACCAGCCUGACCAACAUGGUGAAACCCCAUCUCUACUAAAAAUACAAAAAUUAGCCGGGCAUGUGGCGCACACCUGUAAUCCUAGCUACUCAGGAGGCUGAGGCAGGAGAAUCACUUGAACCCAGGAGGCGAAGGUUGCAAUGAGCCGAAAUCAUGCCACUGCACUCCAGCCUGGGUGACAGAGCGAGACUCCAUCUC